AAUCACAUACUGUUCUUUUUAUCAGUCUCUGAUUUGCAAUCCCCAAAUCUUCGUUCGCAAAGUCUAGCCAUGAUGAUGAUUUGCAAUCUGCUGGGUACUCACGUUUAUUUUGCUCCCUGCUUCUGCCUUUUGCUGGCCAGUGUGAACAUCCACUCUGAAGCUCCACUAACUGGGAGAGAGCUACAAACCUCAGUCUGCAAUCAAGAACAAAGCUCCAAUUCCUGCCCCUACUUCAACUUUUGUGUGGCAGUGCAAUAUGUUUCUGAGAAGAGUCAGCCUACACCUCUAGCAUUAAUGUUUCUACAUCUCUGCUUUUCCUGUUAAAGAACAAAAAAUAAAAGCAAACUACCAAACAAACAAAAUUAAAACAAAACAAAACAAA